rnacentral:misc_RNA from 1 species
UAAUAAGUGUUUUACUGCACUCUUUAAAAAUCCAUAUCCACCUUGUGUGCAAUGUUUGUUGGGAAAGUCUUUUCUUUCCCUUCAUAAAUAUCAACCUAUAUCUUUAACAACAUUCGUCUGAUAACAUAUUAUGAAUAUACUUAAUUCAAAAUA